UACGUAGGGUCCGAGCGUUGUCCGGAAUUAUUGGGCGUAAAGAGCUCGUAGGCGGUUUGUCGCGUCUGUCGUGAAAGCUUGGGGCUUAACCCCAAGUCUGCGGUGGAUACGGGCAGACUAGAGGCAGGUAGGGGAGAACGGAAUUCCCGGUGUAGCGGUGGAAUGCGCAGAUAUCGGGAGGAACACCGGUGGCGAAGGCGGUUCUCUGGGCCUGUACUGACGCUGAGGAGCGAAAGCGUGGGGAGCGAACAGG
rnacentral:rRNA from 1 species